AACGCACAUUGCGCCCUCUGGUAUUCCGGAGGGCAUGCCUGUUCGAGCGUCAUUAUCACCCCUCAAGCCCGGCUUGCUGUUGGCAGCCCGGCGCGGGAUCACCCCCGCGCCCUGCCCAAAGAUAAUGACGGCGUCUGUGAGGACUCCUGUACACUGAGCUUUCGGGCACGUACUAGAGAAGACUCGGGCGCCGGUCGACGUCCUUUCGGGGACACUUUUUACCAAGGUUGACCUCGGAUCAGGUAGGGAUACCCGCUGAACUUAA
rnacentral:misc_RNA from 2 species